GCAGAGGCAGCCCUUUCAUCUGGCUGUCUCUGAAGUUUCUGGAAGAAGGAUGGCCUUUCCGUCACUGUCACAUUCCGGGUUAACUAACUCCCUCAUGGUAGUGCCCCCACCAUGGCUGCUAUCAUGGCUACACCUCAGAGACCUGGCUAUGGACAGCUGAACACCAACAAAUCACUUCUUAGGCAUGGAAAUACAGGCUUUCGUCUGCUAGCUUCAAACACAGCAAUUUAAUUGGCACAAAUAUAAACAGGUGUGGUGAGUCACCAUGAGGGCACUGAGAAUUGAACCCAGUCUUCUGCAGGAACAACAAACACUCCUAGCCAUCUCUCCAGCCCCUGUGGUCAUUUAUAGACUAUAAAGUAUGAUUUGGUAGACAGAAACCUCUGUGAUUUCUCAGCCCAACGUACAGGGUAGAGUGGCCACUACAAUCGCUGUGAUAUUUUAUAAAUGCCAGUGGAUAACUAAUCUCCUAAAUCAGAGUCAGAGCUCCCCAGAGGUUAAGUCUGCCCACCUGUGGCACACAGUAUACCCAGCACAUAGCACACACAGCACACA